AAGUGAUAAGUGGUAGCUUUAGCUACACUUAUCUGAUCAAGUGACAAGUGGAAAGUGAUAAGUAAUAGCUUCGGCUAUACUUAUCUGAUCAAGUGACAAAGUGAUAAGUGGUAGCUUUAGCUACACUUAUCUGAUCAAGUGACAAGUGGAAAGUGAUAAGUAAUAGCUUCGGCUAUACUUAUCUGAUCAAGUGACAAAGUGAUAAGUGAUAGCUUCGGCUACACUUAUCUGAUCAAGUGACAAGUGAAAAGUGAUAAGUGAUAGCUUCGGCUAUACUUAUCUGAUCAAGAGACAAAGUGAUAAGUGAUAGCUUUAGCUACACUUAUCUGAUCAAGAGACAAAGUGAUAAGUGGCUACACUUAUCUGAUCAAGAAACAAAGUGAUAAGUGGCUACACUUAUCUGAUCAAAAAACAAAGUGAUAGGUGGCUACACUUAUCUGAUCAGGGACAAGUGAUAAGUGAUCAUACGUAAGACCAUAGUUAUACUAUGGCAAAGUGAAAGUGAAGUACUCAAUUUUCCGUGACCGUUCCCUAAUUUGAUUAAGGAUGGUAAGUGACAAAUGGGCCCAAAAGAAUUAAAGUAAAUGGAUAAGUGGUAGUGUAUUUAUAUCAGGACGAUGUUGUUAUUCAAACUAAAGUGAUAUUUUCAUUGCUAAAUUGAGAAUUUCAUAAAUGUGUUAUUGAAUGGUAUAAUCAAUAAACAUUGAGUUAAAUGGUAAAUACGUAUUAGUUUUGAAUUUGAUGUCAUUGAAUUGCACGUGAAUUAAAUGGAAAUUGCUAGUGAUAUGAUUUAAAUUAUGAGCAUGAGAAAUUGCGAAUUGAAUGAAAUGGAAAUGAAGCAUUAAAUUGCAUGAGUAUGUAUCGGGUCUCGCAGGCCCUAAUUAUUAUGAUUAUAAUAUUUUGAGGAUAUAUUGUGAAAAGUUAUAGAAACAUGUUAAUUAUUUUGAAAGUUUUAAUUUUGAUGAAAUUUUAUAACUCGGUUAAAUACGUUUACAAGUGUAUGUGUUUUGGUAAUGCCUCGUACCCUAUUCCGGUG
rnacentral:lncRNA from 1 species